UCUAUAUAUGGACACACAACACACGGCAGCAUUUUUACGUACCCGAGCCGUUACCGUCCAUCUCGCCAGUACUCUGUUUCCCUCCAUCUACAACCAUUUUUCUUCUCUCUUUACUUUUAAUUUUCCCCGCUUCCCAAGCUCAUUCGUUUUCACUUUCCUUUUUUUCUCUUUUCAAUACAUUCCAUACCCAGAUUCAUCGCGAUCUUCUUCAUUUAUUAUUUAUUAUUUAUUUAUUUUUCUCUCAGCCAAUUCUAGCUCGUUUCUGCUCUGUUCCGUUCAGAUUCUUCGAUUAAGGAUCUUCUACCACAAUGGCAUGAAAAAUGGUAUUUCAACGACGCCUUGCUUCUAUCACAAUGAAACAACUCUUCCGGCAUUGCGCUGGGUACAGAAUUGAUUGGGCAAAACUUUUCUUUGCCGGGGCCAUAAUGACUGUAGCCGGUGUCAUGCUGCAAAUGUUCACACUGCCUUAUCCAUUGAGCAUGUGGUUCAUCUCUCAGCCUAUAAUUUCAUGGGAUGAACCUUUGAAUGGUGAAGUGGGUUUGAGUGAGAGAGUCACUGAGUCAAUGGUCACCAACGUUUUUCUGAGUUCCCCCGCUGAGUUAAGCCUGUUAGUGCCAGUUGAGCCAGCUGAGAGACUCACAGUUAUCGAGAGGAGAAAAUCUGUAUCUAGAAGGAGAAGGAAAGAUACUAAAGUAGAUGCCAAGUCAACCAUAUCUCCUCCUCCUCCUCCUAGUCGAAGAAGUGUACCUUAUCGCUUGCAGAAAUUCAUUUGGUCCUUGAAACCUAAUGAGGCACUCGAGUAUGCAAGGAAAGAAAUCGAGCGUGCGCCAUUGGUUACUGAUGAUCCAGAAUUAUAUGCCCCCUUAUUUCUGAAUGUUUCAAUGUUUAAAAGGAGCUAUGAAUUGAUGGAAAUGAUACUUAAAGUUUAUAUUUAUCCUGAUGGAGCGAGACCCAUAUUUCACCAACCACAUCUCCGCGGAAUCUAUGCUUCUGAAGGAUGGUUUAUGAGGUUAAUGGAGGGAAACAAGCAGUUUGUCACAAGGGACCCUGAAAAGGCUCACUUAUUUUACAUGCCAUACAGUGCACGCCAACUGGAACUGGCUCUUUAUAAGCCUGAAUCACACAAUUUGAAACCGCUCUCAAUAUUCCUAAGGAACUAUGUGAAUAAGAUUGCGGCAAAAUAUCCUUUCUGGAAUCGCACACAUGGAUCGGAUCACUUCCUUGUCGCUUGUCAUGACUGGGGCCCUUACACAGUCAAUGAGCACAAGGAACUGAGCAAAAAUACCAUAAAAGCUCUAUGCAAUGCUGAUCUUUCGGAAGGAAUCUUUGUUCUUGGAAAGGAUGUUUCCCUGCCAGAAACUACUAUAAGGACUCCUAGGAGGCCACUUAGAAAUGUUGGUGGUAAGAGAGUGUCACAGCGCCCUAUACUCGCUUUUUUUGCUGGUAACAUGCAUGGCAGAGUACGUCCAACACUAGUCAAGCAUUGGCGUGACAAAGAUGAAGACAUGAGAAUCUAUGGUCCUUUACCUGCUCGAGUAGCCCGAAAGAUGUCUUACAUACAACACAUGAAAUCAAGUAAAUAUUGUAUCUCCCCAAUGGGAUAUGAAGUCAACAGCCCCAGGAUCAUUGAGGCCAUAUAUUAUGAAUGUGUCCCGGUGAUUAUUGCCGACAACUUUGUUCUUCCUCUUAGUGAGGUGCUAGAUUGGAGUGCAUUUUCCGUGCUUGUGGCUGAGAAGGACAUUCCCAAAUUGAAAGAGAUCUUAUUAGCUAUUCCAAUGAAAAGAUAUCUUACUAUGCAAAUUAAUGUGAAGAUGGUGCAGAAGCAUUUUCUUUGGAACCCAAGACCAGUAAGGCACGAUCUGUUCCACAUGAUUCUGCACUCCAUCUGGUUUAACAGGCUAAACCAGAUUCAAAUCCCACAGUCGUAAUAGAUAAUCAAGAUACGUAUGACCAAGUUUUCACAGAGCUUUCACUAAUCUCAAGUACCGAACCACCGAAGGGCUUAUGACUGUUUACUCCCACAGCACUCGAGGAAUUCAACUAAGCAUUUAUUGCAUUAAGCCUGGUUUCGUGUUCAACGGCCCGAGUGCUUAACUCAAUACACAUAAAUAAUUGAUGGGAAGAACAUUGGUGCCUCCGGUGUGAGAAGUCAUGUUAGAGGAUUUUGAAAUUGCCCAAGUUUUUGGAGUUGUAUAGAAAAAGAUGACGGAGGAGUCUGUACCCGCCUAUCAACCUUAGACGUUAAACAAAGGUGGUCAGGUGCAUAAAACUU